GAUGAACGCUGGCGGCGUGCUUAACACAUGCAAGUCGAACGGAAAGGCCAGUGCUUGCACUGGUGCUCGAGUGGCGAACGGGUGAGUAACACGUGGGUGAUCUGCCCUGCACUUUGGGAUAAGCCUGGGAAACUGGGUCUAAUACCAGAUAGGACCAUGCUUUGGAUGGUGUGGUGGAAAGUUUUUUCGGUGUGGGAUGAGCUUGCGGCCUAUCAGCUUGUUGGUGGGGUAAUGGCCUACCAAGGCGUCGACGGGUAGCCGGCCUGAGAGGGUGUACGGCCACAUUGGGACUGAGAUACGGCCCAGACUCCUACGGGAGGCAGCAGUGGGGAAUAUUGCACAAUGGGCGCGAGCCUGAUGCAGCGACGCCGCGUGGGGGAUGACGGCCUUCGGGUUGUAAACUCCUUUCGCAACUGACGAAGCUUUUUGUGACGGUAGGUUGAGAAGAAGCACCGGCUAACUACGUG
rnacentral:rRNA from 1 species